UAUCUUAGCGUAUCGGUACGGUGGCAAC
rnacentral:sRNA from 1 species